rnacentral:tRNA from 1 species
AUCCAGGGAUGGGAAUCGAACCCACAGUGUUCCGCUUACCGGGCAGAUGCCAUGUCCACUAGGUUACCCUGGA